rnacentral:rRNA from 1 species
GAUGAACGCUGGCGGCGUGCCUAAUACAUGCAAGUCGAGCGAACAGACGAGGAGCUUGCUCCUCUGACGUUAGCGGCGGACGUGUGAGUAACACGUGGAUAACCUACCUAUAAGACUGGGAUAACUUCGGGAGACCGGAGCUAAUACCGGAUAAUAUAUUGAACCGCAUGGUUCAAUAGUGAAAGACGGUUUUGCGGUCACUUAUAGAUGGAUCCGCGCCGCUUUAGCUAGUUGGUAGGGUAACGGCUUACCAAGGCAACGAUGCGUAGCCGACCUGAGAGGGUGAUCGGCCACACUGGAACUGAGCCACGGUCCAGACUCCUACGGGAGGCAGCAGUAGGGAAUCUUCCGCAAUGGGCGAAAGCCUGACGGAGCAACGCCGCGUGAGUGAUGAAGGUCUUCGGAUCGUAAAACUCUGUUAUUAGGGAAGAACAAAUGUGUAAGUAACUAUGCACGUCUUGACGGUACCUAAUCAGAAAGCCACGGCUAACUACGUG